AAAGGCUAAUUAAGGCGGGUGAUAGCUGGUUCUCCUCGAAAGCUAUUGAGGUAGCGCCUCGCGUCUAACUCAGGGGGGUAGAGCACUGUUACGGCUAGGGGGGACAUAAGUCCUUACCAAACCGUUGCAAACUCCGAAUACCCUGAAGUUCAAUCGCGGGAGACACACGGUGGGAGCUAAAUUUCAUCGUGAAGAGGGAAACAACCCAGACCGCCAGCUAAGGUCCCUAAAUCAUCGCUAAGUGGUAAACGAUGUGGAAAGUCAUAGACAGCCAGGAUGUUGGCUUAGAAGCAGCCAUCAUUUAAAGAAAGCGUAAUAGCUCACUGGUCGAGUCGGUCCGCGCGGAAGAUGUAACGGGGCUAAGCG
rnacentral:rRNA from 14 species